rnacentral:rRNA from 1 species
UNGGAGAGGAAAGUGGAAUUCCUAGUGUAGCGGUGAAAUGCGUAGAUAUUAGGAAGAACACCAGUGGCGAAGGCGACUUUCUGGACGAAAACUGACGCUGAGGCGCGAAAGCCAGGGGAGCGAACGGGAUUAGAUACCCCGGUAGUCCUGGCCGUGAACGAUGGGUACUAGGUGUAGGAGGUAUCGACCCCUUCUGUGCCGGAGUUAACGCAAUAAGUACCCCGCCUGGGGAGUACGACCGCAAGGUUGAAACUCAAAGGAAUUGACGGGGGCCCGCACAAGCGGUGGAGUAUGUGGUUUAAUUCGACGCAACGCGAAGAACCUUACCAGGUCUUGACAUUGAUGGACAGAACCAGAGAUGGUUCCUCUUCUUCGGAAGCCAGAAAACAGGUGGUGCACGGCUGUCGUCAGCUCGUGUCGUGAGAUGUUGGGUUAAGUCCCGCAACGAGCGCAACCCCUAUCUUAUGUUGCCAGCACUUUGGGUGGGGACUCAUGAGAGACUGCCGCAGACAAUGCGGAGGAAGGCGGGGAUGACGUCAAAUCAUCAUGCCCCUUGUGACCUGGGCUACACACGUACUACAAUGGGAGUUAAUAGACGGAAGCGAGAUCGCGAGAUGGAGCAAACCCGAGAAACACUCUCUCAGUUCGGAUCGUAGGCUGCAACUCGCCUACGUGAAGUCGGAAUCGCUAGUAAUCGCGGGUCAGCAUACUGCGGUGAAUACGUUCCCGGGCCUUGUACACACCGCCCGUCACACCACGAAAGUCGGAAGUGCCCAAAGC